UGCGUCACACAUUAAACUAUAGAGACCGCUGUUUCUUCUUUAAACCAGAGGAAGGAUACGGCAAUAACAGGUCUGUGAUGCCCUCAGAUGUUCCGGGCUGCACACGUGCUACAAUGAUCAUUGCACUGUGCAUCUAACCCAAUGUGCGCGGACGCCACGAUAUGUAUUUGCCUUCGGGCAUUUUAUAUAUUCGCUUGUGCGACUGCGCCGAACCUACUUCGAAAGUAAAAUUUUUAAGUGGGUAAUCCAUUAGAAGUAAUGACUCGCAUAGACCAUGGCACACUAUAUGUACGCGCAGGUCUACCCGGCUCGCCUUUGUGUGAGUGCAGUGCGUAGCUUGUUGUUUCGUACGUGCCACUCCGUAUUAAUUCGUACGUGGGGAUAGAUCAUUGUUUAAUUGUUGGUCUCGGUCUUAACUAGGAAUGCCUUGUACGGGUCUUUGGUUCAACAUACCACCCGGAAUACGUCCCUGCCCUUUGUACACACCGCCCGUCGCUCUUACCGAUGGAUUAUACUAUGAAUCUAUAGGACUGCCAAAGCUUUGCGGCGUGUUCGCACACCGCGCUUAGUGGAAAUAUAUAUGAAUAGUGGAUCUA
rnacentral:rRNA from 1 species